UACGAAGGUCCCGAGCGUUAUUCGGAAUCACUGGGCGUAAAGAGUAUGUAGGCGGCGUGGAAAGUCAGAUGUGAAAUCCUGGGGCUCAACCUCAGAACUGCAUCCGAUACUCCCACGCUAGAGUAAUGGAGGGGAGUCUGGAAUUCACGGUGUAGCAGUGAAAUGCGUGGAUAUCGUGAGGAACACUAGUGGCGAAGGCG
rnacentral:rRNA from 1 species